rfam:Schizosaccharomyces pombe chromosome I, complete replicon
GUCUACGGCCAUACCUAGGCGAAAACACCAGUUCCCGUCCGAUCACUGCAGUUAAGCGUCUGAGGGCUUCGUUAGUACUAUGGUUGGAGACAACAUGGGAAUCCGGGGUGCUGUAGGCU